rnacentral:rRNA from 1 species
AUGACGGGGGAGCCGCCAAGGCUCGUGUUCCGGUUCACCCAUGCCGAGGUCGCCAAGAUGGAGGAGGUCCUCAAUGAGAUCGACGCCAUGCCCAAGCGUCCUGUCAUUCAGGGCCUCAUCGAUCACUUCAACGCCUCGCCGGACCGCUCCGGCAACGGCAAGGUCCCCGUCCAGUACAAUCAGGUGAGGAAUUGGUUCCAUAACCGGAGGUCCGCGCAGUCCCAGCGGGCCAGGAAGAUGAUGCUAACCCCAGUUGACGAGGAACACCACCCAGUGGCCGGAUCCUACUUUGGGAAUAUUUCUUCGGAUGGUGGCCAGGUCCAGUUUGAAGCAAAGUCGGCUAGGAAUGGAGCAUGGUACGAUGUUGCUGCCUUUCUGUCCCACAGGUUCACUGAAACGAGGGACCCGGAAGUACUAGUUCGAUUUACUUGGUUUGGACCCGAGGAGGAUGAAUGGGUUGAUGUUCAGAAAUGUGUGAGACUGCGUUCUCUUCAAUGUGUUGCGGUGCUGCCUGGUGAUCUCAUUCUUUGUUUUAAGGAAGGCAAGGCCCGCUAUUUUGAUGCGCAAAUUCUUCAAGUUCAAAGGCGCAGGCAUGACGUAAGGGGGUGCCGCUGCAGGUUUCUUGUUUGUCAUGAUCAUGAUCACUCUGAGGAGUGUGUUUCACUGAGCAAGGUAUGCCGUCGACCAAUGCACCAGAAUUCCCAAAAGCCACACAAGAUGAUGAGUGUCAACACUGACACGGUGACCGGGGGUGCGGUUCCCAUUCCACCAGAUCAAGGAGGGCCAUCUGAAAAGGCGCUUGCUCCCUUACUAGACGCACCUACUAGCAGCCGCAGCUAUUCUGUGGCAGAUGUUGAGAUGGGGGAUACGGAGGCUGCCCCAAACAGUGAAGCUGCAAAUGGAGCGCAUGACGACAAGAUGAAUCUGGGAGUGUAG